ACUCAAAUGAAUUGACGGGGGCCCGCACAAGCGGUGGAGCAUGUGGUUCAAUUCGAUGCAACGCGAAGAACCUUACCUGGGUUUGAACUGCAACCGAAAUAAUCAGAGAUGGUUAUGUCUAGCAAUAGACGGUUGUAGAGGUGCUGCAUGGCUGUCGUCAGCUCGUGUCGUGAGAUGUUGGGUUAAGUCCCGCAACGAGCGCAACCCUUGCCUCUAGUUGCUCGGUUGAAAGAUCAGCACUCUAGAUGGGACUGCCGGUGAUAAACCGGAGGAAGGUGGGGAUGACGUCAAGUCAUCAUGGCCUUUAUGUCCAGGGCUACACACGUGCUACAAUGGAUGGUACAAAGGGUCGCUAAAUCGCAAGGUGGAGCCAAUCCCAUAAAACCAACCUCAGUUCGGAUUGCAGUCUGCAACUCGACUGCAUGAAGGUGGAAUCGCUAGUAAUCGCGGAUCAGCAUGCCGCGGUGAAUACGUUUCCGGGCCUUGUACACACCGCCCGU
rnacentral:rRNA from 1 species